UCGCUUUGCUCAGCACAGCAGACAACCAACGGACAACUAAGCCGACCCGUCUCGACGCAGUAAUCAUGCUUGCCCAGAUUUGUUUUGGGUGUGCCCAUCACUCAAAGACACAUUCCACAGGGACAGGAUCACAAUGCUAGUGAAGAAGACUUAAGAUCACGGUCAACAAUAUCAGCAAAUGCAGCUGAUCGUCAAAAUCAAGAAGUCUCCCUUUGAUUGAGAGACACCAGAGCUGCAAUGCACAAGUACAUUGUCACAACGAGUCCAGGAGGACCAAGCGAUUCUUUUCCCAUACCAGGGUCAGACCAAAGAUGAUGUUACGUUGCCCUUUUGAAAUUUCUAAAUCUUGUAGCUCUUGUACAAAGUGAGGUAUUUCUAGGUGUUAUAAGGUUUCAUUUAAAACUCAACAUCCGCACCUUGAACAAAAUUUGUAAAAUACCAUACUCGAGAUCUUAGUCAAAUCUUGAUGAGAGCAGCAAGGGAUCAGGCAAACGGUAGCUAUCAAAUAAAUUAAUUUCUGUUUAA